GGUUAAGCGACUAAGCGUACACGGUGGAUGCCCUGGCAGUCAGAGGCGAUGAAGGACGUGCUAAUCUGCGAUAAGCGUCGGUAAGGUGAUAUGAACCGUUAUAACCGGCGAUUUCCGAAUGGGGAAACCCAGUGUGUUUCGACACACUAUCAUUAACUGAAUCCAUAGGUUAAUGAGGCGAACCGGGGGAACUGAAACAUCUAAGUACCCCGAGGAAAAGAAAUCAACCGAGAUUCCCCCAGUAGCGGCGAGCGAACGGGGAGCAGCCCAGAGCCUGAAUCAGUGUGUGUGUUAGUGGAAGCGUCUGGAAAGGCGCGCGAUACAGGGUGACAGCCCCGUACACAAAAAUGCACAUGCUGUGAGCUCGAUGAGUAGGGCGGGACACGUGGUAUCCUGUCUGAAUAUGGGGGGACCAUCCUCCAAGGCUAAAUACUCCUGACUGACCGAUAGUGAACCAGUACCGUGAGGGAAAGGCGAAAAGAACCCCGGCGAGGGGAGUGAAAAAGAACCUGAAACCGUGUACGUACAAGCAGUGGGAGCACGCUUCGGCGUGUGACUGCGUACCUUUUGUAUAAUGGGUCAGCGACUUAUAUUCUGUAGCAAGGUUAACCGAAUAGGGGAGCCGAAGGGAAACCGAGUCUUAACUGGGCGUUAAGUUGCAGGGUAUAGACCCGAAACCCGGUGAUCUAGCCAUGGGCAGGUUGAAGGUUGGGUAACACUAACUGGAGGACCGAACCGACUAAUGUUGAAAAAUUAGCGGAUGACUUGUGGCUGGGGGUGAAAGGCCAAUCAAACCGGGAGAUAGCUGGUUCUCCCCGAAAGCUAUUUAGGUAGCGCCUCGUGAAUUCAUCUCCGGGGGUAGAGCACUGUUUCGGCAAGGGGGUCAUCCCGACUUACCAACCCGAUGCAAACUGCGAAUACCGGAGAAUGUUAUCACGGGAGACACACGGCGGGUGCUAACGUCCGUCGUGAAGAGGGAAACAACCCAGACCGCCAGCUAAGGUCCCAAAGUCAUGGUUAAGUGGGAAACGAUGUGGGAAGGCCCAGACAGCCAGGAUGUUGGCUUAGAAGCAGCCAUCAUUUAAAGAAAGCGUAAUAGCUCACUGGUCGAGUCGGCCUGCGCGGAAGAUGUAACGGGGCUAAACCAUGCACCGAAGCUGCGGCAGCGACGCUGAUGCGUUGUUGGGUAGGGGAGCGUUCUGUAAGCCUGCGAAGGUGUGCUGUGAGGCAUGCUGGAGGUAUCAGAAGUGCGAAUGCUGACAUAAGUAACGAUAAAGCGGGUGAAAAGCCCGCUCGCCGGAAGACCAAGGGUUCCUGUCCAACGUUAAUCGGGGCAGGGUGAGUCGACCCCUAAGGCGAGGCCGAAAGGCGUAGUCGAUGGGAAACAGGUUAAUAUUCCUGUACUUGGUGUUACUGCGAAGGGGGGACGGAGAAGGCUAUGUUGGCCGGGCGACGGUUGUCCCGGUUUAAGCGUGUAGGCUGGUUUUCCAGGCAAAUCCGGAAAAUCAAGGCUGAGGCGUGAUGACGAGGCACUACGGUGCUGAAGCAACAAAUGCCCUGCUUCCAGGAAAAGCCUCUAAGCAUCAGGUAACAUCAAAUCGUACCCCAAACCGACACAGGUGGUCAGGUAGAGAAUACCAAGGCGCUUGAGAGAACUCGGGUGAAGGAACUAGGCAAAAUGGUGCCGUAACUUCGGGAGAAGGCACGCUGAUAUGUAGGUGAAG
rnacentral:rRNA from 1 species